GGUUGUUAACGAAUAAACAACAAACGGGUUUGGAAAUGAUGGAAAUGAUGUGAAGGUCCCCAGCUGCAAAUGCAGAAAGAGAGACAGAUGGAGAGAGGAGGGGCAGGGGGUGGAGAGAGACAGAGAGUGUGGGUGAUGGAGGGAGAGAGUAAAGGAGAGAGAGAGUGGGUGAUGGAGGGAGAGAGGGAUGGAGAGGAGAGAGUAAAGGAGAGAGAGUGGGUGAUGGAGGGAGAGAGAGAGGGAUGGAGAGGAGAGAGGGAUGGAGAGGAGAGAGUGGGCGAUGGAGGGAGAGAGGUGAUGGAGAGGAGAGAGUAAAUGAGAGAGAGAGUGGGUGAUGGAGGGAGAGAGGUGAUGGAGAGGAGAGAGUAUAGGAGAGAGAGUGGGUGAUUGAGGGAGAGAGGGAUGGAGAGGAGAGAGUGGGUGAUGGAGGGAGAGAGCGAUAGAGAGGAGAGAGUAAAGGAGAGAGAGUGGGUGAUGGAGGGAGAGAGAGAGGGAUGGAGAGGAGAGAGUAAAGGAGAGAGAGAGUGGGCGAUGGAGGGAGAGAGGUGAUGGAGAGAAGAGAGUAAAGGAGAGAGAGAGUGGGUGAUGGAGGGAGAGAGAGAGGGAUGGAGAGGAGAGAGUAAAGGAGAGAGAGAGUGGGUGAUGGAGGGAGAGAGGUGAUGGAGAGGAGAGAGUAAAGGAGAGAGAGAGUGGGCGAUGGAGGGAGAGAGGGAUGGAGAGGAGAGAGUAAAGGAGAGAGAGAGUGGGUGAUGGAGGGAGAGAGGGAUGGAGAGGAGAGAGUAAAGGAGAGAGAGAGUGGGUGAUGGAGGGAGAGAGGGAUGGAGAGGAGAGAGUAAAGGAGAGAGAGAGUGGGUGAUGGAGGGAGAGAGGGAUGGAGAGGAGAGAGUAAAGGAGAGAGAGAGUGGGCGAUGGAGGGAGAGAGGUGAUGGAGAGAAGAGAGUAAAGGAGAGAGAGAGUGGGUGAUGGAGGGAGAGAGAGAGGGAUGGAGAGGAGAGAGUAAAGGAGAGAGAGAGUGGGUGAUGGAGGGAGAGAGGGAUGGAGAGGAGAGAGUAAAGGAGAGAGAGAGUGGGUGAUGGAGGGAGAGAGAGAUGGAAUGGUCCCCCACAUGCAAAACUCUAGCAAUCAGAAUACUGUACAGAAAUCACAAACUUUAAUACAAGUUAUCAUGUUCUCCUGCAUAACUCAGACAACGUGAAGAAUAUA